UGGGAGCAUGCUGGUCCCUUGCUCAGAACACUGCCAUGACUCCCUGGUGCCCACCAGGUCCAGCUACACCCCUGAUCCCAGGUCUUCCCUGUUCCAGGAAACCCCAAUUCAAGGGGAGGAGGGACCUGAGCUAUGACCUCAGUUGGGGCUUGCAGCCCAGCUCCGGCCUUCCAGACUGAGCCAGAGGCUUCCAGGCCACCUGGGAGCUCAUUGGAAGCUCCGAGUGUCAGACCCCCCUGGGGAUCCUAAAGCAGCAGGGAGAAGCCUUUCUGGACAGUCUUGGCAGAAGCAGAGCCCUGUCACCCUCCAUCUCCAGGCCUGGCUUUAUUUUUCUUCGUGGCGCUCACUGUCACUUGCAAUUUCAUGUGUCAGAUUAUUUAUUAUCUCCCUCUUCCUAGAAUGUGAGCUCCGUGACUCGGGGAGGGCCUGUCUUGUUCCUUUGCCUAGAAGAGGAGGUGGUAUAAGCUCAACAAUUUUUUGUGCUAUGAAUGAAUGAAUGAAUGAAUGAAUGAAAGGAGUCAGGUGGUAAAGGGAGAUGUUUACCCUCACAGGGGAAAGUUGGGUGUGAAGACAAGCUCCUUAUGGGCAAGCUAAAUAGAUCAUUCUAGGUGGAGCAGGGGAAUUACAAGUAAUUUAGC